rnacentral:rRNA from 1 species
UACGAAGGGGCUAGCGUUGUUCGGAAUCACUGGGCGUAAAGCGCACGUAGGCGGAUGUGCCAGUCAGGGGUGAAAUCCCGGGAGCUCAACUCCGGAACUGCCUCUGAUACAGCACGUCUUGAGUCGAGAGAGGUGGGUGGAAAUUCCUAGUGUAGAGGUGAAAUUCGUAGAUAUUAGGAAGAACGACCGGUGGCGAAGGCGGCCCACCUGGCU